rnacentral:rRNA from 1 species
CAAUAGGGUGCCAUCAAGAGGUGUAUUUGGAAAUAUCCCUAAUACAGGAUCACUA